rnacentral:rRNA from 1 species
AUGUAUGAUAAUGUUGUGACAAGUGUUCAAACAAGUGAUGGCGACACUGAUGACUUCCCGAUUAAAGUAGGACUGCACCAGGGGUCAACUUUGAGCCCUUACCUUUUCGCUCUAGUGAUGGAUGAGGUCACAAGGGAUAUAAGAGGAGAUAUACCAUGGUGUAUGCUCUUUGCAGAUGAUGUGGUGCUAGCCGAUGAUAGUCGGACGGGGGUCAAUAGGAAGUUAGAGCUAUGGAGACAAACUUUGGAAUCGAAAGGUUUUAGACUUAGUAGAACUAAAACCAAGUACAUGAGGUGCGAUUUCAGUACUACUAGGCAAAAGGAGGAGGGGGAGGUUAGCCUUGAUGGACAGGUGGUGCCUCAAAAGGACCUAUUUAGAUAUAUAGGGUGUAUGCUGCAAAAGAAUGGGGAUAUCGAUGAAGACGUGAAUCAUCAAAUCAAAGCCGGAUGGAUGAAGUAG